GUCAGAGAAUCCGUCUGCAAAGCCAGUGUCUAUUUUUACUAUCCAGCCACAGACGUGGUUGCUUUAACUGAGGAACUGCACCAGGAUUCUUCGUUUGCAUAAGAUGAGGAGUAGCGGCCUCUGAUAGUCCACAGGCGCUGAUCUCCAUGUCGCAAGACUUCGUUCGAGACGUCAGUGGCCAGUCAGUUAGCAGUGUGCUCGGUACUACCACAUGCGGCUUGUGCAGAGGUUGGAGAAAAGAGCUAAGAAAAGAGUGUGUCCCUCCCGGGAGCUCCCCUGCAGAUGCCUGAGUGUCGGACACCAGCAAAGGAUGGCUGAUGGCAACAGAGCCACCAAGAGAGGAUUCCGCCACAGAGCAAAAAGAGUUCUCCAACCACUGUCCUAAACUGGUGAUCGCCUGAGUUCCAGGAAAAACAGAGCCCGACAGACUACUCCACGGUGAGAGCACCCUCCUGAGCGGAAACAGUCAUCUCCUGGGGACCGAGUUGUCCCUGAAGUCAUGAGGGUUCCUCCAGAGCUACAACGCCAGGACUGAGGUAACGAUGCACUGACCCCAGCCCACACCACGUCCCAUAAGCCUGGGCUCUUCGUUAGGGGACCAGAUUGUCAGAGCUGUGCUCCCCUUUAUUCUCUCCUACUUUCCAGUUAAAGUUUUUGUCUGUAGAUUCAUACUUUGCUUUAGUAUUCAUUUCUUUUGUCACUAAAGCAGGGACCCAGACUGCUGGGUGACAGAGGGACCUCAGAACAACAGUUUCCAACCCAGCUUUCCGAGCUGGGAUGAAAUAAAAUACCUUGGUUUUUCUUAACCUCUAACUGAAAUUUAACAUAUCCUAUAAUUACGAAUGUAGGCAACAAACUGGAGGAGUAAUAGCAGCACCUG
rnacentral:lncRNA from 1 species